UGGGGGAUAUUGCACAAUGGGCGAAAGCCUGAUGCAGCGACGCCGCGUGGGGGAUGAAGGCCUUCGGGUUGUAAACUUCUUUUGCUCUGAACAAGGCAUGCUAAUGGGUGUGUUGAGUGUAGGGGUUGAUUAGCGCCGGCUAACUACGUGCCAGCAGCCGCGGUAAUACGUAGGGCGCGAGCGUUGUCCGGAAUUAUUGGGCGUAAAGGGCUUGUAGGUGGCUGGUUGCGUCUGUCGUGAAAGCUCAUGGCUUAACUGUGGGUUUGCGGUGGGGACGGGCUGGAUUGAGUGCAGUAGGGGAGGCUGGAAGUCCUGGUGUAGCGGUGGAAUGCGCAGAUAUCAGGAGGAAUACCGGUGGCGAAGGCGGGUCUCUGGGCUGUUACUGACACUGAGGAGCGAAAGCAUGGGGAGCGAACAGG
rnacentral:rRNA from 1 species